rnacentral:rRNA from 1 species
UACGUAGGUGGCAAGCGUUGUCCGGAAUUAUUGGGCGUAAAGCGCGCGCAGGCGGUCCUUUAAGUCUGAUGUGAAAGCCCACGGCUCAACCGUGGAGGGUCAUUGGAAACUGGGGGACUUGAGUACAGAAGAGAAGAGUGGAAUUCCACGUGUAGCGGUGAAAUGCGUAGAUAUUGGGAGGAACACCAGUGGCGAAGGCGGCUCACUGGACCGGAACUGACGCUGAGGCGCGAAAGCGUGGGGAGCAAACAGG